rnacentral:lncRNA from 1 species
ACAUCAUAAUGGUUCUUUUGCCAACAGGAGCUGGUAAUCAGGAUGGCAGUGAGGCAGGCACUUGCUUGCAGAAGAACAGGCCUAGUUUUUUAAGAAGCCACAAAAGUGUCUUUGGAUGAUUAGGAUCUAAGGGGCCAACAGCUUUGCAAUAACAGCAUAAAUAUUGUGGGCUGGAUGGACAGGCACCAAAUGGGGACAUUCCAUCCUGCUGUGUGAUGAGAAAGCUGCCACUUUUGAGGCCUUCCAAAACAAAUCAACACUCCAUAUGCCAGAAGGAAAAGCCCAGGAAAGACCUAUUCCAACUGGAGAUGGUGAAUGUCAUUUCUUCAAGAAGCUGAGAUCCAGCUGGAAUACGAAGGGAGAAUGAAACAAAACUGCUCCGCUUAGGGAACUUGGAAAGGAAAUUGAAAAGGCAAGGCACAGGCUGGAAGAAAAUAUUUGAAAAAGAUUUAUGUGAACUUCUUUCUGGAUUAUACAAAAUAUUUUUAGAUAUUCUUACAACUCUAAAAUAAGAUAACUCCUUAAAAAUCUAAAUUCUACCAAAGGAGAGAUAAAGAUGACGAAUACAUUCAAAGAUGCUGAAAAUCACUUAUUUAUUAUUAGGAAGUUACAAGCUAAAGCAUAAUGAGAUACCACUACAACCUACUAAACUGACUAAAAUUAAUCAGACUAACCAGGUGUUGGCAAGAAACAGGG